ACACUGUUGGUGAAGUGGUUAUCAUGCUUGCCUUCCAUGAGUUGCCAGCAAGCGGGCGGGGUUCGAUUCCCCGACAGUGUA